rnacentral:rRNA from 1 species
AGAGUUUGAUCCUGGCUCAGAUUGAACGCUGGCGGCAGGCUUAACACAUGCAAGUCGAACGGUAACAGGAGAAAGCUUGCUUUCUUGCUGACGAGUGGCGGACGGGUGAGUAAUGCUUGGGAAUCUGGCUUAUGGAGGGGGAUAACUACGGGAAACUGUAGCUAAUACCGCGUAAUAUCUUCGGAUUAAAGGGUGGGACUUUCGGGCCACCUGCCAUAAGAUGAGCCCAAGUGGGAUUAGGUAGUUGGUGGGGUAAAGGCCUACCAAGCCGACGAUCUCUAGCUGGUCUGAGAGGAUGACCAGCCACACUGGAACUGAGACACGGUCCAGACUCCUACGGGAGGCAGCAGUGGGGAAUAUUGCACAAUGGGGGGAACCCUGAUGCAGCCAUGCCGCGUGAAUGAAGAAGGCCUUCGGGUUGUAAAGUUCUUUCGGUGAUGAGGAAGGUGUUUGUUUUAAUAGAACAAGCAAUUUGACGUUAGUCACAGAAGAAGCACCGGCUAACUCCGUGCCAGCAGCCGCGGUAAUACGGAGGGUGCGAGCGUUAAUCGGAAUGACUGGGCGUAAAGGGCACGCAGGCGGUGACUUAAGUGAGAUGUGAAAGCCCCGAGCUUAACUUGGGAAUUGCAUUUCAUACUGGGUCGCUAGAGUAUUUUAGGGAGGGGUAGAAUUCCACGUGUAGCGGUGAAAUGCGUAGAGAUGUGGAGGAAUACCGAAGGCGAAGGCAGCCCCUUGGGAAUAUACUGACGCUCAUGUGCGAAAGCGUGGGGAGCAAACAGGAUUAGAUACCCUGGUAGUCCACGCUGUAAACGCUGUCGAUUUGGGGAUUGGGCUUAGAGCUUGGUGCCCGUAGCU